GCAGUAGCCGCGGUAAUACGAAGGGUGCAAGCGUUAAUCGGAAUUACUGGGCGUAAAGCGUGCGUAGGCGGUGAGUUAAGUCUGCUGUGAAAUCCCCGGGCUCAACCUGGGAAUGGCAGUGGAUACUGGCUCGCUAGAGUGUGUCAGAGGAUGGUGGAAUUCCACGUGUAGCAGUGAAAUGCGUAGAGAUGUGGAGGAAUACCGAUGGCGAAGGCAGCCUCCUGGGAUAACACUGACGUUCACGCCCGAAAGCGUGGGUAGCAAACAGGAUUAGAUACCCCGGUAGUCCCUGUCUCUUAUAC
rnacentral:rRNA from 1 species